CAGUCAAUGGAAAGAAAUCUACAUCUUUUGCUUUUUUACUUGCUACGGCAGCAGUUAAAACAACUGUAUCACCAUAACGAACUAAAACAGCACCAUUGGCUUGUUUUGCUAAUUGUCCAGUUUCAAUUGUUAAUGUCCGGCCAGCCCAUUCUUUUGUAAAAAUUUGUUUUUCUGUCAUUUUUUACAUGUCUCCUUUGUUUUUAAAGAUUACUAAUUUAUUUCCUCACAAUACACACGAGCUACUAAACAAAUGUAAACAGUGAAUGGGAACGUCUUACA
rfam:Carnobacterium maltaromaticum LMA28 complete genome